GACGAACGAUGGCGGCGUGCUUAACACAUGCAAGUCGAGCGGAGCGGCGAACGGGUGCGUAACGCGAGAGUAACUGACCCCCUCUCUGGGAUAACAGUUGGAAACGGCUGCUAAUACCGGCUAGUGGGGGAUGAAUCGCGUCCUAUCAGCUUGUUGGUGGGGUAGGGGCUUACCAAGGCGACGACGGGUAGCCGACCUGAGAGGGAUACAGGCCAAAUGGGGCGGAGAUACGGCCCAAACGCCUACGGGAGGCAGCAGUGGGGAAUAUUGCACAAUGGGGGAAACUCUGAUGCAGCAACGCCGCGUGCGGGAUGACGGCCUUCGGGUUGUAACCCGCUUUCAGCCAUGACGCGGUAGUGGCAGAAGAAGCACCGGCUAACUACGUGCCAGCAGCCGCGGUAAUUC
rnacentral:rRNA from 1 species